AUACGGAGGGUGCAAGCGUUAUCCGGAAUCAUUGGGUUUAAAGGGUCCGUAGGCGGAUAAUUAAGUCAGGGGUGAAAUCCCACAGCUCAACUGUGGCACUGCCUUUGAUACUGGUUAUCUUGAGUUAUAGGGAAGUAGUUAGAAUAUGUAGUGUAGCGGUGAAAUGCAUAGAUAUUACAUAGAAUACCGAUUGCGAAGGCAGUCUACUAUCUGUAUACUGACGCUAAGGGACGAAAGCGUGGGGAGCGAACAGGAUUAGAAACCCUAGUAGUCC
rnacentral:rRNA from 1 species